rnacentral:rRNA from 1 species
GACGAACGCUGGCGGCGUGCUUAACACAUGCAAGUCGAACGGAAAGGCCCUGCUUUUGUGGGGUGCUCGAGUGGCGAACGGGUGAGUAACACGUGAGUAACCUGCCCUUGACUUUGGGAUAACUUCAGGAAACUGGGGCUAAUACCGGAUAGGAGCUCCUGCUGCAUGGUGGGGGUUGGAAAGUUUCGGCGGUUGGGGAUGGACUCGCGGCUUAUCAGCUUGUUGGUGGGGUAGUGGCUUACCAAGGCUUUGACGGGUAGCCGGCCUGAGAGGGUGACCGGCCACAUUGGGACUGAGAUACGGCCCAGACUCCUACGGGAGGCAGCAGUGGGGAAUAUUGCAGAAUGGGCGCACGCCUGAUGCAGCAACGCCGCGUGCGGGAUGACGGCCUUCGGGUUAUAAACCGCUUUCGCCUGUGACGAAGCGUGAGUGACGGUAAUGGGUAAAGAAGCACCGGCUAACUACGUG